GUUCCAGCACACUUAUACAGAACAGCAGGAAGAAAGUGGAGAUCACUGAAGGAAGAGCACAUCCGUUCAUUGUGUGAGAACUCUUGCAAAUCCAUGGGGAGACAAAGUUGAAGACAGAAAUGGACUGUGCCCUCAAGCACUGUAGUCAAGUCAAGGAGACAGAAAACUCUGGAGUUCCACUGUUUUCCUUGAUCGGUGAGCUUGGUCUGGCUGGAUGUUCUUGCUGAUCUUCUGGGGAAGGGGCCUGUUGCAGAUUUUUAACUUCUCCCUCUCCUUCCCUUCAUCACCAAAUUUCUAUGGGGUACUCCUUUUCCAGUUUUUCCCUUCUCCCCAGAAGAGAUUUCCUGUGCAAUGAAUCUAUGGAAAAGAAGGUUUUGGUUCAUUGCUUGGUCCAUGCACACUUAUGAUGGCUUCAUCUUGUUGGUGGAUUGACCAUUUUAUCAUUAUAUGACUCUCUGGUGUCAUACAAUUGAUGACCAAAGGAUAGAGAUGCUCCAGGAAGCUCUGGCUCUCAGGACAGUUGGAUGGAGUUUGAAUCCCAGCUCUGGUGCCUAUUAGUGGGG